CAAAGAACCUGCCUCAUAGACUGGGACAACUAUUGGAAACGAUAGCUAAUACCGGAUGACAGCAUUAACUGCAUGGUUGAUGUUUAAAAGUUGGUUUUGCUAACACUAUGAGAUGGCUUUGCGGUGCAUUAGCUAGUUGGUGGGGUAAAGGCCUACCAAGGCGACGAUGCAUAGCCGACCUGAGAGGGUGAUCGGCCACACUGGGACUGAGACACGGCCCAG
rnacentral:rRNA from 1 species